rnacentral:rRNA from 1 species
GAGAAGGGGAUAACUGUCCGAAAGGAUAGCUAAUACCCUAUAUUGCCUUUUGUCACUAAGGCAAAAGGUGAAAGCGAGGCUGUCAAAGGCUUCGGCUCAAAGAGGGGUUCGCGUCCUAUCAGGUAGUUGGUGGGGUAACGGCCUACCAAGCCAAUGACGGGUAGCUGGUCUUAGAGGAUGAUCAGCCACAGUGGGACUGAGACACGGCCCGCACCCCUACGGGGGGCAGCAGUGGGGAAUCGUGGGCAAUGGGCGCAAGCCUGACCCCGCAAUGCCGCGUGAGGGAAGAAGCCCUUCGGGGUGUAAACCUCUGUCAGAUGGGAAGAUGGGACUAGGGGCUAAUACCUCCUGGUCUUGACGGUACCAUCAGAGGAAGGGACGGCUAACUACGUGCCAGCAGCCGCGGUAAUACGUAGGUCCCAAGCGUUGCGCGAUGUUACUGGGCGUAAAGCGUCCGUAGCUGGUUUCGUAAGCGGAUUGUCAAAGCCCGAAGCUCAACUUCGGCAAGGCAUUCCGAACUGCGUUACUUGAGUCCUGUUCAGGUAGGCGGAAUUCCCGGUGUAGCGGUGAAAUGCGUAGAUAUCGGGAGGAACACCAGUGGCGAAGGCGGCCUACUGGGACGGUACUGACGGUCAUGGACGAAAGCUGGGGGAGCAAACCGGAUUAGAUACCCGGGUAGUCCCAGCCGUAAACGAUGGAUGUUAGGUGCAGUGAUAACUUCGCUGCACCCCAGCUAACGCGUUAAACAUCCCGCCUGGGGAGUACGGGCGCAAGCCUGAAACUCAAAGGAAUUGGCGGGGGCCCGCACAACCGGUGGAGCGUCUGGUUUAAUUCGAUGCUAACCGAAAAACCUUACCAGGGUUUGAAAUGGUAGGAAAGGCUGUCGAAAGAUAGCCGUGUUUCCCUUUUGGGAGAAAUCCUACCACAGGUGGUGCAUGGCCGUCGUCAGCUCGUGUUGUGAGAUGUUGGGUUAAGUCCCGCAACGAGCGCAACCCUUGUCCUUAUUUGCUUCCUCGUAUGAGGUGCUCUAUAAGGAGACUGCCGGCGACAAGCCGGAGGAAGGAGGGGACGACGUCAAGUCAGUAUGCCCUUUAUGCCCUGGGCUACACAGGCGCUACAGUGGCAAGGACGAUGAGUAGCAAGAGUGCAAGCUCAAGCUAAUCUCACAAACCUUGUCAUGGUGCG